rnacentral:rRNA from 1 species
UACGGAGGGUGCAAGCGUUGUUCGGAAUUACUGGGCGUAAAGCGCGCGUAGGCGGCUUCUUAAGUCAGAUGUGAAAGUCCACGGCUCAACCGUGGAAGUGCAUUUGAAACUGGGGGGCUUGAGUACUGGAGGGGAUGGUGGAAUUCCCGGUGUAGAGGUGAAAUUCGUAGAUAUCGGGAGGAAUACCGGUGGCGAAGGCGACCAUCUGGCCAGAUACUGACGCUGAUGUGCGAAAGCGUGGGGAGCAAACAGG